rnacentral:rRNA from 1 species
UGGUGGAGUGAUUUGUCUGGUUAAUUCCGAUAACGAACGAGACUCUGUCCUGCUAACUAGGUUGUGUUUUCUCGGGUUGGUGUUUCUGGUGUUCCUUCUCGGGGCGCCGGCCCAAUCCACCUGUGAACACAACACUCUUCUUAGAGGGACUGGCGGCUGUUAGCCGCACGAGAUAGAGCAAUAACA